rnacentral:rRNA from 1 species
GCAGGCUGCAACCCGCCUGCAUGAAGCCGGAAUCGCUAGUAAUCGCGGAUCAGAAUGCCGCGGUGAAUACGUUCCCGGGUCUUGUACACACCGCCCGUCACACCAUGGGAGUCGGGAAUGCCCGAAGUCAGUGGCCCAACCGGAAGGGGGGAGCUGCCGAAGGCAGGCCCGGUGACUGGGGUGAAGUCGUAACAAGGUAUC